AUGAAGUCAAAAGGAACAUGUGGCCUUGCCUACGUUUGGUCAACAUUGAUGGGAGCUUUCUGUAAGCCAGAAACUUCAAUGUAAACAGAUGCUAUUUUCCACUACAUAUUCAGCUGUAAUGAGCUAAUUUAAUGUAUUAAAACAACAAAAGAACUUCAAGAAUGAGUCAGUGAUUCAAGUUGCAUGGAAACCAAGGGAAAAAUCAAGCAUGAAGUUUGCAAAACCAUUCCAAAAUUCUGUUUUCGAUAAGGAAUUGUGGAGCCCCUGUUCUUUGAGGCUGCUUAGCCAAUGCUGUGUGCGCACCUUUGCAUGAUAAACAGAAUUCCCAGGCAAGGAAAAGAAGAAACAGUGUGUGAGCAGAUAGUCACAAUUAAGUCUGCAAAUUUAUUUUUUUAGCUAGUCUUUGCCUAAAUGAAGACCGAAGUACUCUGAAAAUCUACAAUUACAUGAUUCUAAAAGAGGCAAGUUUGUGAUGUAUCUUUCUUUGGUAUUUCUUUGGAUAGCCUAGAGUAACGAAAGACCUAGAUGUGGUGCUAAACCACAGAUAUGGAUGGACUCAACUCACCUCUAUAUAUUACCUUCUCAAUCCUUACCAAAUCAAUUUCUGGUAUGGCCAGCACACCCAGUUUCCCCAGAUGCUCUACCUGAAACCAAAGGUGGAACUAUGACUGAGGAUUUUCUGAGUAUUUUCAUCAAAGCCGAGUAAUAUCUUCUCAUCAUAGUGCAAAGGAAUUUCAGUUUCUGAUAUCCUAUUUGACUUUGACAAUAAAUCAAAAGAUCCUGCUCCUUC